GAUUCUUUUGGCACUCUAGAGAUAGAGCCUUCCCCUUCGGGGGACAAAGUGACAGGUGGUGCAUGGUUGUCGUCAGCUCGUGUCGUGAGAUGUUGGGUUAAGUCCCGCAACGAGCGCAACCCUUAAGCUUAGUUGCCAUCAUUAAGUUGGGCACUCUAGGUUGACUGCCGGUGACAAACCGGAGGAAGGUGGGGAUGACGUCAAAUCAUCAUGCCCCUUAUGAUUUGGGCUACACACGUGCUACAAUGGACAAUACAAAGGGCAGCUAAACCGCGAGGUCAUGCAAAUCCCAUAAAGUUGUUCUCAGUUCGGAUUGUAGUCUGCAACUCGACUACAUGAAGCUGGAAUCGCUAGUAAUCGUAGAUCAGCAUGCUACGGUGAAUACGUUCCCGGGUCUUGUACACACCGA
rnacentral:rRNA from 1 species